UAUUUUUUAGACGACUCUAAGGUACUGAGAGCAGUAGUUUAUCUGAUGACCUCAGAGUUCUGGGAGGGCAGUGAAAGUGUACAAACUCACUUAGGUAUUGGGGAGCUUGUCCAUUUAAAGCUUUAAAGACAAAAAGAAGAAUUUUGUAAUCUACUCUAAAUUUCACUGGUAACCAUUGCAGAG